GGUGUUGUAGUAGAUGCCGGUGAUCUCCUCCUCAUAAAUCGGCACGAUGAUUACCAUGGCGUGCUCUUUGGCCACUUCCUGCAUCAGGCGCACGGUUGGCCCAUCAGGAAUUUUUUCCACGGCUUCAUACCAGCGCGUUUGCUGCUCGGCGCAAAAGUAAGGCGUAGUGAACACCUCCUGCAUGCAGAGAAUCUGCACCCCCUGCUCGCCUGCUUGCUCGAUGAAGCCCAGGUGCUUCUCAAUGUUGAGCCGUUUGAUGUCGUCUACAGGCGAAUCCGUCGGUGCUGCGUUUGAACACUGAAUCAGUCCGCAUUUAACUGUUCGGG
rnacentral:misc_RNA from 1 species